GAGUUUGAUCCUGGCUCAGAUUGAACGCUGGCGGCAGGCCUAACACAUGCAAGUCGAGCGGAAACGAGUUAUCUGAACCUUCGGGGAACGAUAACGGCGUCGAGCGGCGGACGGGUGAGUAAUGCCUAGGAAAUUGCCCUGAUGUGGGGGAUAACCAUUGGAAACGAUGGCUAAUACCGCAUAACGCCUACGGGCCAAAGAGGGGGACCUUCGGGCCUCUCGCGUCAGGAUAUGCCUAGGUGGGAUUAGCUAGUUGGUGAGGUAAGGGCUCACCAAGGCGACGAUCCCUAGCUGGUCUGAGAGGAUGAUCAGCCACACUGGAACUGAGACACGGUCCAGACUCCUACGGGAGGCAGCAGUGGGGAAUAUUGCACAAUGGGCGCAAGCCUGAUGCAGCCAUGCCGCGUGUGUGAAGAAGGCCUUCGGGUUGUAAAGCACUUUCAGUCGUGAGGAAGGUAGUGUAGUUAAUAGCUGCAUUAUUUGACGUUAGCGACAGAAGAAGCACCGGCUAACUCCGUGCCAGCAGCCGCGGUAAUACGGAGGGUGCGAGCGUUAAUCGGAAUUACUGGGCGUAAAGCGCAUGCAGGUGGUUUGUUAAGUCGGAUGUGAAAGCCCGGGGCUCAACCUCGGAAUUGCAUUUGAAACUGGCAGACUAGAGUACUGUAGAGGGGGGUAGAAUUUCAGGUGUAGCGGUGAAAUGCGUAGAGAUCUGAAGGAAUACCGGUGGCGAAGGCGGCCCCCUGGACAGAUACUGACACUCAGAUGCGAAAGCGUGGGGAGCAAACAGGAUUAGAUACCCUGGUAGUCCACGCCGUAAACGAUGUCUACUUGGAGGUUGUGGCCUUGAGCCGUGGGCUUUCGGAGCUAACGCGUUAAGUAGACCGCGUGGGGAGUACGGUCGCAAGAUUAAAACUCAAAUGAAUUGACGGGGGCCCGCACAAGCGGUGGAGCAUGUGGUUUAAUUUGAUGCAACGCGAAGAACCUUACCUAUUCUUGACAUCCAGAGAACUUUCCAGAGAUGGAUUGGUGCGUUCGGGAACUCUGAGACAGGUGUUGCAUGGCUGUCGUCAGCUCGUGUUGUGAAAUGUUGGGUUAAGUCCCGCAACGAGCGCAACCCUUAUCUUUGUUUGCCAGAGAGUAAUGUCGGGAACUCCAGGGAGACUGCCGGUGAUAAACCGGAGGAAGGUGGGGAGGAGGUCAAGUCAUCAUGGCCCUUACGAGUAGGGCUACACACGUGGUACAAUGGCGCAUACAGAGGGCAGCCAACUUGCGAGAGUGAGAGAAUCCCAAAAAGUGUGUUGUAGUCCGGAUUGGAGUGUGCAACUCGACUCCAUGAAGUUGGAAUCGCUAGUAAUCGUGGAUCAGAAUGCCGCGGUGAAUACGUUCCCGGGCCUUGUACACACCGCCCGUCACACCAUGGGAGUGGGCUGCAAAAGAAGUAGGUAGUUUAACCUUCGGGAGGACGAUUACCACUUUGUGGUUCAUGACUGGGGUGAAGUCGUAACAAGGUAACCGUA
rnacentral:rRNA from 1 species